UUGGAUCAGAAUUCAUUAAUUAGGACUUUUAAAUGUGAAAGAUCAUAUAUGAAUAACUCCUGCACACUGAGUUUUAGUACUAUGUUGUUAAAACAAUCUAGAGUUGGUUUUAGUACUGUUGAUCUCUUGGUUUAACGGCGAGGAUAAGUUUUAGUUUCCGAGCCUUUAAAAAGCAAUUUUUAGUAGUAGAACUGGAGUUUCAAUGCGAGUGGCUCCAGUAGAAUGUAGAAUGUUGCAAUUUUGUAUUGAUGACUUGGUGUGUGUUUUCAUGAGCUUUUAGGUUUGUUAAAAUUGCUGCUAACAUCUGCAGGAAUUUUUUUUAAAGGUGGUAAAAAUAAGAAGCUCAAACAGAGAACAUAGUUGCUUGGUAGGUAAGUCAAAUUUAAUUGUUCAACUAAUGUAGAGCAGAAGGCUCUUAACCUUGUGUCAUGUGUUCGACCCCCAUGUUGGGAAUACCAAAUGUAAUGAGUAAAUAUAUUUACGACCUUACUUGAACAAUUUCUGUUCUAUAGGCUCUAAGGAGAAAGAAAUAAAGUCUGGUGGAUGAAUCAUUGGCAUGAGAACAGAGCAGGAACUUUUCUGAAUAAAUUGGUUAAUAUAUCUUCAAAUAAAACUAAACUAAUGUUUUAUUUGUUUUAAUUAUCUAUCUUAAUUGCCAGAUCCCCUCCCACAUAUCUCAACUUUUAAAUUGCUGCUAAACUGAAAUCCAUAUGAUAAUGGUGAAUACUCACAAUAUCUUACCCUUUCGUGUUAGAGAACCCAGCUUUUUAUAUAUUGGAAUGUUCUGUCUCAAGUUUGGCAUUGAGGUGUAGUUGUUGUUUGCAUCUUGGUUUUUCGAAAAUUUGAAAAAUUCUAAAAAACAGUUUUUCAAAAUUUCACUGAAAUCACUCACAAUAAUUCAAAACAACUGUAAAUUAUAUUCAUGUCCAAUCCAAACACAACUCUAAUUUUCAAAUACUAUUUUCACUUGAAAAAAUUUCACCUUUUUUUUCGAAAUUUUACAAUUCUUAUGUCCAAACGCCCACUUAUGUGUGUGUUUUCAUGAGCUUUUAGGUUUGUUAAAAUUGCUGCUAACAUCUGCAGGAAUAAUUUUUUUUUAAAGAUGGUAAAAAUAAGAAGCUCAAACAGAGAACAUAGUUGCUUGGUAGGUAAGUCAAUUUUAAUUGUUCAACUAAUGUAGAGCAGAAGGCUCUUAACCUUGUGUCAUGUGUUCGACCCCCAUGUUGGGAAUACCAAAUGUAAUGAGUAAAUAUAUUUACGACCUUACUUGAACAAUUUCUGUUCUAUAGGCUCUAAGGAGAAAGAAAUAAAGUCUGGUGGAUGAAUCAUUGGCAUGAGAACAGAGCAGGAACUUUUCUGAAUAAAU
rnacentral:lncRNA from 1 species